UUCACCGUAGCUUAAACCUGCAGAGCACGCCACUGAAGCUGGCAAAGUGGGCCCUCAAAAGCCCCGUGGACA
rnacentral:tRNA from 1 species